rnacentral:rRNA from 1 species
UACAGAGGUCCCCAAGCGUUGUUCGGAUUCACUGGGCGUAAAGGGUGCGUAGGUGGCCAGGUAAGUUUGGUGUGAAAGCUCGGAGCUCAACUCCGAAAUGGCAUUGAAUACUAUCUGGCUGGAGGGUCGGAGGGGAGACUGGAAUUCUCGGUGUAGCAGUGAAAUGCGUAGAUAUCGAGAGGAACACCAGUGGCGAAGGCGAGUCUCUGGACGACACCUGACACUGAGGCACGAAAAGCUAGGGGGAGCAAACAGG